CGCUACGCAUUCUUUGUGAAGGGCGACACUUCUGUGCAACGAAGACCUUGGAGACCAGCCGGACGGCUUGGAAACAUCCAUACUACAUGUGUGCCACCCU